rnacentral:rRNA from 1 species
AACGAACGCUGGCGGCAUGGAUUAGGCAUGCAAGUCGAACGGUGACAGCAAUGUCAUAGUGGCGCAAGGGUGAGGAACGCGUGAGUGAUCUACCCUCAAGUUUGGAAUAGCUCCUGGAAACGGGAAUUAAUACCGGAUGUGAUUGCAGGACUGCAUGGUUUUGCAAUGAAAGCAGCAAUGCGCUUGAGGAGGAGCUCGCGUCCCAUUAGCUAGUUGGUGAGGUAAAGGCCCACCAAGCCAACGAUCUGUAGCUGGUCUGAGAGGACGACCAGCCACACUGGAACUGAGACACGGUCCAGACUCCUACGGGAGGCAGCAGUGGGGAAUUUUGGACAAUGGGCGCAAGCCUGAUCCAGCCAUUCCGCGUGCAGGAUGAAGGCCUUCGGUUGUAACUAGCUUUGUACGGUAACGAACGGUAGAGCUCUAUAAGACUUGCUAAUGACGGUACCGUAACGAAUAAGACACCGGCUAACUACGU